AACGUACGCUGGCGGCACGCCUAACACAUGCAAGUCGAACGAAGUAGCAAUACUUAGUGGCAGACGGGUGAGUAACAUGUAGGUAUCUGCCCUUUGGCCUGGAAUAACACGAGGAAACUUGUGCUAAUACCGGAUAAGUCUUUACGGAGAAAGCUUUAUGCACCAUUGGAUGAGCCUGCACUUGAUUAGUUUGUUGGUGGGGUAAUGGCCUACCAAGACUGUGAUCAAUAGCUGAUUUGAGAGGAUGAUCAGCCACAUUGGGACUGAGACACGGCCCAAACUCCUACGGGAGGCAGCAGUGGGGAAUCUUGCACAAUGGAGGAAACUCUGAUGCAGCGAUGCCGCGUGAGUGAAGAAGGCCCUUGGGUUGUAAAGCUCUUUCGUCGGGGAAGAAAAUGACUGUACCCGAAUAAGAAGGUCCGGCUAACUUCGUGCCAGCAGCCGCGGUAAUACGAAGGGACCUAGCGUAGUUCGGAAUUACUGGGCUUAAAGAGUUCGUAGGUGGUUGAAAAAGUUAGUGGUGAAAUCCCAGAGCUUAACUCUGGAACUGCCAUUAAAACUUUUCAGCUAGAGUAUGAUAGAGGAAAGCAGAAUUUCUAGUGUAGAGGUGAAAUUCGUAGAUAUUAGAAAGAAUACCAAUUGCGAAGGCAGCUUUCUGGAUCAUUACUGACACUGAGGAACGAAAGCAUGGGUAGCGAAGAGGAUUAGAUACCCUCGUAGUCCAUGCCGUAAACGAUGUGUGUUAGACGUUGGAAAUUUAUUUUCAGUGUCGCAGGGAAACCGAUAAACACACCGCCUGGGGAGUACGACCGCAAGGUUAAAACUCAAAUGAAUUGACGGGGACCCGCACAAGUAGUGGAGCAUGUGGUUUAAUUCGAAGAUACGCGCAGAACCUUACCAACACUUGACAUGUUCGUCGCGACUCUAAGAGAUUAGAGUUUUCGGUUCGGCCGGACGAAACACAGGUGCUGCAUGGCUGUCGUCAGCUCGUGUCGUGAGAUGUUGGGUUAAGUCCCGCAACGAGCGCAACCCUCACUUUUAGUUGCCAUCAUUAAGUUGGGCACUCUGAAAGAACUGCCAGUGAUAAGCUGGAGGAAGGUGGGGAUGACGUCAAGUCCUCAUGGCCCUUACGUGUUGGGCUACACACGUGCUACAAUGGUAUCUACAACAGGAAGCAAGACUGCGAAGUUUAGUAAAUCCCUAAAAGAUACCUCAGUUCGGAUUGCACUCUGCAACUCGAGUGCAUGAAGCUGGAAUUACUAGUAAUCGUGGAUCAGCGUGCCACGGUGAAUGCGUUCCCGGGUCU
rnacentral:rRNA from 1 species